AUACUACUCUCUAUGUCCCAAAAUUCUUGUCUUAGAUUUGUCUAAAUACGGAUGUAUCUAGUUAUACUUUAGUGUUAGAACAUCCGUAUCUAGACAAUUUUAAGACAAGAAUUUCGGGACGGAGGGAGUAUACA
rfam:Triticum aestivum genome assembly, contig: Triticum_aestivum_CS42_TGACv1_scaffold_527047_6DL